rnacentral:rRNA from 1 species
UGCAGUCGAACGAUGAAGCCUGGCUUGCUGGGUGGAUUAGUGGCGAACGGGUGAGUAACACGUGAGUAACCUGCCCUUGACUCUGGGAUAAGCGCUGGAAACGGCGUCUAAUACCGGAUAUGACCUGCCCCGGCAUCGGGUGUGGGUGGAAAGUUUUUCGGUCAAGGAUGGACUCGCGGCCUAUCAGCUUGUUGGUGAGGUAAUGGCUCACCAAGGCGACGACGGGUAGCCGGCCUGAGAGGGUGACCGGCCACACUGGGACUGAGACACGGCCCAGACUCCUACGGGAGGCAGCAGUGGGGAAUAUUGCACAAUGGGCGAAAGCCUGAUGCAGCAACGCCGCGUGGGGGAUGACGGCCUUCGGGUUGUAAACCUCUUUUAGUAGGGAAGAAGGGCUUCGGCUUGACGGUACCUGCAGAAAAAGCACCGGCUAACUACGUGCCAGCAGCCGCGGUAAUACGUAGGGUGCAAGCGUUGUCCGGAAUUAUUGGGCGUAAAGAGCUCGUAGGCGGUUUGUCGCGUCUGCUGUGAAAACCCGAGGCUCAACCUCGGGCCUGCAGUGGGUACGGGCAGACUAGAGUGCGGUAGGGGAGAAUGGAAUUCCUGGUGUAGCGGUGGAAUGCGCAGAUAUCAGGAGGAACACCGAUGGCGAAGGCAGUUCUCUGGGCCGUUACUGACGCUGAGGAGCGAAAGCGUGGGGAGCGAACAGGAUUAGAUACCCUGGUAGUCCACGCCGUAAACGUUGGGAACUAGAUGUGGGGGCCUUUCCACGGUCUCCGUGUCGCAGCUAACGCAUUAAGUUCCCCGCCUGGGGAGUACGGCCGCAAGGCUAAAACUCAAAGGAAUUGACGGGGGCCCGCACAAGCGGCGGAGCAUGCGGAUUAAUUCGAUGCAACGCGAAGAACCUUACCAAGGCUUGACAUAUACCGGAAACUUCCAGAGAUGGUUGCCCCGCAAGGUCGGUAUACAGGUGGUGCAUGGUUGUCGUCAGCUCGUGUCGUGAGAUGUUGGGUUAAGUCCCGCAACGAGCGCAACCCUCGUUCUAUGUUGCCAGCACGUUAUGGUGGGAACUCAUAGGAGACUGCCGGGGUCAACUCGGAGGAAGGUGGGGAUGACGUCAAAUCAUCAUGCCCCUUAUGUCUUGGGCUUCACGCAUGCUACAAUGGCCGGUACAAAGGGCUGCGAUACCGUAAGGUGGAGCGAAUCCCAAAAAGCCGGUCUCAGUUCGGAUUGAGGUCUGCAACUCGACCUCAUGAAGUCGGAGUCGCUAGUAAUCGCAGAUCAGCAACGCUGCGGUGAAUACGUUCCCGGGCCUUGUACACACCGCCCGUCAAGUCAUGAAAGUCGGUAACACCCGAAGCCAGUGGCCUAACCGUAAGGAGGGAGCUGUCGAA